UGUCCCCCGCCGUGAUAUUGCUGGAAUAUUGCUAAAAGCGGCGUAAAACUAAACUCAGUCAGUCAGUCAGUCUACAAGUUGUGCGACAAAGCUGAAUGCAACACCAAACUUAAGAAGUUCGUAGACUACGUUGACCGCCAGUGGAUCCAACAUGACAUGUUCACUCCAAAGUCGUAUCCAGUCUUCAAGGUGACCAUCCGCACAAAUAAUCAUGUUGAAGGAUGACACUUGCGACUGAAGACGAAGACCAACUCUCCCAAGCUUGGUAUAUACCAGCUGGCCGAAGUUUUGAAGUCAGAAGCCGACUUGGUGAACCUUCAGACCAGACUAGUGCGGAACGGUGUUCUGAUUUCCCGCCUGAUGAGGUAAGCUACACAGAGCCAGAGGCGUAUCUUUGCAGCCUGGAACGAAUACCGAGAUGGCGAUCUCAGUCUGAUGUCUCUCCUGACAACAUGCGCACAGAUCCAUGGUCGUUCGGUGUAACCUGCAGUCGGCAGAGAAACACACAGAACCAUGAACAUUACCGUUUAUUCAAACACGAUGAAAACAAAACGAAUAUUGCUUGGAGUCAGUAUUGACAGGUAUAAUCAAUACUCGGCAUAUAUUCAAUAUCCAUCUUG